CAACGAGUUAGCACAGCAGAAUAGAUCUGUUGUGAAAUUACACUAAUGGGACUUCCUGUUUCAUACUGCAGGCCUGGGAAGUACACUUGCCUAAAAAUGAUGGACAUAGAGCACGAGGCUCUGUCUGUGCCUUUGUGGCGGACGAGGUGCAGAGCUGCUUCCAGCCCCCUGCAGCCACCCUACCAGUCCCGCCUGUCCUCGCGGUGGACAUUUCCACCACACUACCAGCUGACAUCCAAGCAGACCUGGCUUCUUCCCACCUGGAGGUUGAAGACAUCACCCCUAACACAGAGGCCGAUCCUGCUUCAUCCCACCUGAAUGUGGUGGACAUCACCCCUAAGAAAGAGGCAGUCCCGGCAUCUUCCCACCUGGAGGUUGUGGACAUCACCCCUAAUACAGAGGCAGAGCCCAUCUCUUCCAUCUUGGAGGUUGUGGAUGUCACACCUGAAGAAAGGACUCUCACGACGGCUGUCUUCGCCACUCUGCCAGCUGACAUCCAAGCAGAGGAUGUUGCUGUGGUCAUCCCGGAUGUCACCCCACACGUCACCAAGGACGUGACACUGGAUGUUCCAUGCAGAGCUAGGAAAGGGGCAGUCCAGCGAUUAUUUUGCAGGCUUUGGAGGGCAGUGUGCUGCUGCGCCUGCCACAAGGAAGAGGAGAAACAAUAUUAAUUAUUCAUCAGACCUUCAGA